rnacentral:rRNA from 1 species
UACGGAGGAUGCAAGCGUUAUCCGGAAUGAUUGGGCGUAAAGCGUCCGCAGGUGGCUGUGUAAGUCUGCUGUCAAAGAGCAAAGCUCAACUUUGUAAAGGCAGUGGAAACUACACGGCUAGAGUGCGUUCGGGGCAGAGGGAAUUCCUGGUGUAGCGGUGAAAUGCGUAGAGAUCAGGAAGAACACCGGUGGCGAAGGCGCUCUGCUAGGCCGCAACUGACACUGAGGGACGAAAGCGUGGGGAGCGAACAGG